rnacentral:SRP_RNA from 1 species
UGUGCGGGUAGGGCUGGGAGUUCGCCGCCUCCCGUAGCCGAAGGCGUAAAGCGGGGCCAGCAACCUAGCCUGCUCGGAGGCAUCUCGCUUCAAGGACCGCGCACUAGCGGUGAAGCCCGCCCCAUGGGGCUGGCGGUGGUGGAGGUCCUCCUGGAGGGGAGGACCUACCACCUUUGUGGGGGGAACCUGGCCAGGCCCGGAAGGGAGCAACCUAACCUCCGACGUCAGCGUUCAUGGGUCACCGGGUGGAGGACGGUGCGCGGAACCCUUGGGCGGGGUGCUCCGAGUAAGGCGGGGGCCGCACA